AGCUCGUCGGGCUCAUAACCCGAAGGUCGCGAGUUCAAAUCUCGCCCCCGCAACCA
rnacentral:tRNA from 1 species